CGUGCUUAACACAUGCAAGUCGAGCGGUAAGGCCUUUCGGGGUACACGAGCGGCGAACGGGUGAGUAACACGUGGGUGAUCUGCCCUGCACUCUGGGAUAAGCCUGGGAAACUGGGUCUAAUACCGGAUAUGACCUGUCCUCGCAUGGGGGUGGGUGGAAAGAUUUAUCGGUGCAGGAUGGGCCCGCGGCCUAUCAGCUUGUUGGUGGGGUAAUGGCCUACCAAGGCGACGACGGGUAGCCGACCUGAGAGGGUGACCGGCCACACUGGGACUGAGACACGGCCCAGACUCCUACGGGAGGCAGCAGUGGGGAAUAUUGCACAAUGGGCGGAAGCCUGAUGCAGCGACGCCGCGUGAGGGAUGAAGGCCUUCGGGUUGUAAACCUCUUUCAGCAGGGACGAAGCGUGAGUGACGGUACCUGCAGAAGAAGCACCGGCUAACUACGUGCCAGCAGCCGCGGUAAUACGUAGGGUGCGAGCGUUGUCCGGAAUUACUGGGCGUAAAGAGUUCGUAGGCGGUUUGUCGCGUCGUUUGUGAAAACCCGGGGCUCAACUUCGGGCUUGCAGGCGAUACGGGCAGACUUGAGUGUUUCAGGGGAGACUGGAAUUCCUGGUGUAGCGGUGAAAUGCGCAGAUAUCAGGAGGAACACCGGUGGCGAAGGCGGGUCUCUGGGAAACAACUGACGCUGAGGAACGAAAGCGUGGGUAGCAAACAGGAUUAGAUACCCUGGUAGUCCACGCCGUAAACGGUGGGCGCUAGGUGUG
rnacentral:rRNA from 1 species